UCUUACCGAGCCGAAAACAGAAAGAAGAAAACCGCACCGGGCGCGCGUACAGCCAACAGAGAGACAACGAAACGUAGUAAAAUAUAGAGGCGCCGCGCGCGAGGGCGCUGCCUCCUUUCCUGCGGCGGGAAUAAAACAGAGCACCACCGCCACCUCCACUCUCCAAACGAUCUCUCCCCUCCGCCGCUCGCCCGAAUAAAAACCCCAGGCCGGCAUUGACGCAUCCAGCGCACCGCCAAUCCGCUAUUGCUAAGCAGCACAGUUAAGCUACCGGCGUACACCCCAGGGCUCAGGCAGGCAAGGCAGCUCCGACUUCCGGCAAGACAUUAUCAAGGAGUUCUUCGUCUUCCUCCGUCCUCCCAUCCAUCGUGCAUGAAAGCCGGCACAGCUAUAGCAGCACUCGUCCAUUGGUGCUCGUUCUUGCGAUCAAGCGAUCGGUCGAUGACGCUUGACGGCGGCAUGCCAGCCACCACCGACGGCGCCGGCGUGCCCCCGGCCGCAGAGAGGGGCGGCAGCGGCUGCGGUGCCCGCGUGGCGCCGGAGGUGGUGGUGGAGCGGGAUGGCGGUAGCGGUGCCGGCGCUACAAUCCCUGCGACGGAGAGGGCUGCCGCCGUGGCGAUCCCUGCGAUGGAGAGGGACGGCGGCGGCUCUGCCGGCGUGGCGCCGACUGAGGCGGAGAGCGACGGCGGCGGGAGGAGCUGCGGCGAGCACUGCGUCAUCCAGGUGGUGGAGGAGUCGUGCUGCGCGCGGUGCGUGUGCGUGGGCCCGAACCCGAUGAUGGCGCGGUACGUGUACGCGCUCAUCUUCCUGGUGACCAACCUGCUGGCCUGGACGGUCCGCGACUACGGCCACUCGGUGCUGGGCGAGCUCCGGCGGCUCAAGGGCUGCCAGGGCGCGCGCUACUGCCUGGGCGCCGAGGGCGUGCUGCGCAUCAGCCUCGGCUGCUUCCUCUUCUUCUUCGUCAUGUUCCUGUCCACCAUGAAGACGCGGAAGGUGCACGACUGCCGCAACUCGUGGCACUCCGAGUGGUGGCCCGUCAAGAUCGUGCUCUGGAUGGCCCUCACCGCCGUCCCCUUCUUCGCGCCCUCGCCGCUCAUCCAGCUCUACGGGAAGGUGGCACAUUUCGGAGCAGGGGCGUUCCUCGUGAUCCAGCUCAUCAGCGUGACCAGGUUCAUCACGUGGCUCAACGACUGCUGCCGAUCGGAGCUGAACCUCAAGAGAUGCCACAUGCAGGUGCUGGUGGUGUCGAUCGUGACGUACGUGGGGUCCAUCCUGGGGAUCGUGCUCAUGUACAUCUGGUACGCGCCCACGUCGGCCUGCAAGCUCAACAUCCUCUUCAUCACCGUCACCCUCGCGCUGGUGCAGCUCAUGACAUUCGUCUCCGUCAACUCCAAGGUGAAGGCGGGGUACCUGGCGCCGGGGCUGAUGGGGAUCUACAUCGUGUUCCUCUGCUGGUCCGCGAUCAGAAGUGAGCCGCACACGGAGAUGUGCAACAGGAAAGCAGCGGUCGCGACGAGCGCAGACUGGCUCAACAUCGCGAGCUUCGUGAUCGCCGUGAUCGUCGUCGUCGCGGCCACCUUCUCGACAGGGAUAGACUCAAAGUGUAUCCAGUUCAAGAGCGCCGAGACGGAGUCCGAGGACGACGACAUCCCGUACGGGUUCGGCUUCUUCCACUUCGUGUUCGCCAUGGGCGCCAUGUACUUCGCCAUGCUCUUCAUCGGCUGGAACGCGCAUCAGGAAAUGGAGAAGUAAGGGGCUGUUUGGUUCUAGACAAGGGGAAAACACACUGACAGAUUGCAGUCAGAACGUUCAGACUUUGGUCGCUAGAUGUUCCCGAUGUGAGAACACUGAUGGUUGAUUAGUGCGCGGCCAGUCUGAUCCCCAGGUGGACGAUCAGACAGAGAAAAAACACGCUGACAGACUGAACUGACUGACUGCAAGAUCAGAAUGUUCCUGAUCUGAGAACAUUGAGUAAUUGAUUAACGCGUUGUCUGAUUUCAUCCUCAGGUGGACGAUCGACGUGGGCUGGGCGAGCACGUGGGUGCGCGUCGGCAACGAGUGGCUGGCGGCGAUCACGUACAUAUGGAUGAUCGUCGCUCCGAUCGUGUGGAAGCGGAGGCAGGUGGGGUCCUCGUCCACGUGUGCGUGAGCGAACGUUUUAUUCUCGCUCGUGCUAAUUACCUACUGAAGAACAGCUAAUCUACAAGAAAGAAAAGAGAGAAGUAGGGAGCUUGACAUGACGCUACUUCGCUUACACGACGCAUGGACGGAUGAUGAUGAUGAUGAUGAUGAUGACGAUCAAGAAGUGUUGGUCAGUCGCUCGUUUUUUGCCCAAGUUGGAGGUAAAAGAGAGUGGGAGAGAAAGGAAAGAGCCGAACGUGUUCCUCUUUGUAUAUAAGGCCAAUUUUGCUUUGUGGCCGUUGCAGAUAAAAACUAAUUCUUUUGGAGUUGAGUUGAUUGUAUAUUCUCACUCCGAAAAGAAAUAUUUACCAAGGAAACAACUCGUGACCGAAUUUCAAAUUCCUUGUGGGUGCCGACAUGUUUGCGCCUGGAAAUUUCAGGUCCAAAUUCCUUGUGGGUGCCGAAAUGUUUGCGCCUGGAAAUUUCAGGUCAAAAUCUUCUAUAUCUAAAUAGGGACACCCCACUAGAUGAUUUUUCUAGAUCCUCGUGAAGCCACGUCAUCUGAAUUGUUGCAGCCAUUGAUGUGGUAUAGAUCAGCAAUCAGCAGCCGUUUGAUCGGAAGUUGAUGAAAAUUACUGAGCUUGCCACCGCUAAGUGAAAAGUAC
rnacentral:rRNA from 1 species